AUGACAGGGCGUUGAAGGGAAGGAAAAGUUGAGGGAAACGAGGAAACUAUUUCCAUAGGAGAAUGCUUUUUCACUGAAGUCGAAACUGGCUUGGUACUGACGCCCAGCAGGGGAAACUCCCCGGACACUCACAGACAUUCAUCUGGUUACUUGCAGGAACAUCUGCCUUUCCUGGUGACACCCUCUGCCCUGCAGUCUUCAUUUUCCCUGGAUAGCCCAGCGUCAUUUAAAUACUCAGAAGCCUCUCUGCCUUUCUAUGCUGUUGUCUGCAAAGAGAUGAACGGACCUGUGCAGACGGCUGGCCAGUGACGCCGGGAUCUCUAGGUCCUUCCAAAGUGCCUACGGAAAGCUUUGUCCCAUCCUUGAAAAAUUGCUAAUGGGUUUGGAGAUACGAGGUGGAGAUGACUAGCAAUCAAACUCAAAGGUGGAAGUCACAUCGAGGCAGAUGAGCAGAUGAGGGGACCUAGAGAAGAAGAGAGGUGCAAGGAGAGCCCAGCCAGCAGGA
rnacentral:lncRNA from 1 species